GCUGAGUGCAGUGGUGUGCACCUGUAGUCCCAGCUACUUGGGAGGCUGAAGCAGGAUGGCUUGAGGCUGGGAUUUCUGUGCUUUAGUGCACUAUGCUGAGAGCGUGUCCACACUAAAUUCAGCACUAAUAUGGUGAACCCUUGGGAGCAGAGGAUCACCAGUUGGCCUCAGAAGUGGUGAACCAGCCCAGGUCAGAAACAGAGCAGGUCAAAACUCAGGUGCUGAUCAGUAGUGAGAUUUCACCUAUGAAAAGACACUGCACUCCAGCCUAGACAACAUAAUGAGACCCUGUCUCUC
ensembl:misc_RNA Metazoa_SRP Metazoan signal recognition particle RNA